rnacentral:rRNA from 1 species
UACGGGGGGGGUAAGCGUUGUUCGGAAUUACUGGGCGUAAAGGGCUCGUAGGCGGCCAACUAAGUCAGACGUGAAAUCCCUCAGCUUAACUGGGGAACUGCGUCUGAUACUGGAUGGCUUGGAUCCGGAAGAGGGAUGCGGAAUUCCAGGUGUAGCGGUGAAAUGCGCAGAUAUCAGGAGGAACACCAAUGGCGAAGGCAGCUCACUGGGACGAUACUGACGCUGAGACGCGAAAGCGUGGGGAGCAAACAGG